rnacentral:rRNA from 1 species
ACCUGGGGAUAACAGGCUGAUUACCCCUAUGAGGCCUCAUCGACGGGGAGGUUUGGUCCCUCGAUGACGGCUCAUCACAGCCUGGGGCUGUAGUAGGUCCCAAGGGUUGGGCUGUUCGCCCAUUAAAGUGGUACGCGAGCGGGGUUCAGAACGUCGUGAGACAGUUCGGUCACUAUCCGUCGCAGGCGUAGGAAAUUUGAGAAGACCUGGCCUUAGUACGAGAGGACCGGGAUGGACGUACCUCUGGUGUACCAGUUGUCCUGCCAAGGGCAUGGCUGGGUAGCUAUGUACGGAAUGGAUAAGCGCUGAAAGCAUCUAAGCGCGAAG